AUGCUGUCCUGUGGCUGUGGCGCCCCAACAACUGUAGCUCCGAUUCAACCCUUAGCCUGGGAACUUCCAUAUGCUGCAAGUACAGCCCUAAAGAGGAAAAAAAAAAGAAGAAGAAGAAGAACCCUCUAUGACUCUCCAGGAUUCCCAGGACAGGGUCCCAGCUCCAUCUCUAGCACAGAAAUUUCUUUCCUGAGGCUGGAAAGAAAUCACAGCUCCCUGAACACCGCCCACCUGUAUACGCCCCCACCUUCCCUCACCUCCUUCUCUGGGCCUUGCUUCCUCUCCUUUGCUUGUAAUGAAGAGCUCAGGAAGGAUCUGAAGCAGGUGAGAAACGAAGCUAUUGAAAGAAAGUCGGUUUCUUCUAGAAUUCUCUCCCGCCUCCCACCUAAGAGGAAGCAGUUGAAGAAUGAAGUCAAGAAAUCGCCACCUAGGAGUUCCUUGUGGCACAGCAGGUCAAGGCUCCAGUGUUGUCACUGCAAUAGCUCUGGUCACUGCUGUGGUGUGGGGUUGAUUCAUGGUCCAGAAACUUCCACAUGCCUUGGGCACAGCCAGAGAAAAAAGAAAGGAAAGAAAAGUCACCCUUCAAAUCUGCACAUGGAGCAGGUAACAGCUGCAACCCCACUUCAGGCUGAUUCUUUGUAACUGGAUAUUGACCAAAGUCCUGAAUUAUUCUGAGACUUGGGAUUUUCGUAACCCUGGAAUAAGACACUCCUAUCCAAUCUCUUCCAGGCCUGAAAAACAGUAGGUGAUCAGGGGGAUGAAAGAAGCCUGAAGGAUAUGCAGAGGCUAGGGUUUCUUACAAAGACAGGAUUUCAAUUUGUUUCAUCAUAAUGGCUCAGAACCAGACUCUGCUGCCAAGAGGCCUGGAUGAAAAUCAUUCUACACACCUCCUAGAGUAAUGACAAUAAAAACAAAAAUAAAGAAAUGGGACCUAAUUAA
rnacentral:lncRNA from 1 species